CCUACGGGUGGUAGCAGUGAGGAAUAUUGGUCAAUGGACGAGAGUCUGAACCAGCCAAGUAGCGUGAAGGAUGACUGCCCUAUGGUUUGUAAACUUCUUUUAUAUGGGAGUAAAACAGGGUAUGCAUACCCUCUUGUAUGUACCAUAUGAUUAAGGCUCGGCUAACUCCGUGCCAGCAGCCACGGUAAUACGGAGGCUCCGAGCGUUAUCCGGAUUUAUUGGGGUUAAAGGGCGCGUAGGUGGAUUAGUAAGUCAGUUGUGAAAGUUUGCGGCUUAACCGUAAAAUUGCAGUUGAGACUGGUAGUCUAGAGUACAGUAGAGGUGGGCGGAAUUCGUGGUGUAGCGGUGAAAUGCUUAGAUAUCACGAAGAACUCUGAUUGCGAAGGCAGCUCACUGGACUGCAACUGACACUGAUGCUCGAAAGUGUGGGUAUCAAACAGGAUUAGAUACCCGAGUAGUC
rnacentral:rRNA from 1 species